ACAGUAACUCUUUCUUUUUCUCCUCCACAGAUGCUGCCAGACCUGCCGAGCUUUUCCAGCAACUUUGUUUUUGUUCCUGAUUUACAGCAUCUGCAGUUCUUUUGGUUCUUAUUCAACAUUACCUGCUGUAUCUCCAUCUAGGGUUAGGGAGGUUUUGUUGGGUGGUAAUUAGGAUUAAGGAUGUUCACUGAUUGUUGUGAAACAUUGCACAGUCACAACUCCUCAUAUACUGAAGGUAAUUGUGUCCAAGUACAUGAAGACCUGGACGAUAUCCCAGCUUGGGUUGGUAAGUGGUAAGAUUUGCACCACACAAGAGCUGAUCAAUGACCAUUUUCAGUAAGAGAGAAUCUAACCAUUGCCCCUGGAUAUUAAUAGCAUUACCAUCACUGAAUCCUCCACUAUUAACAUCAUGAGGAUUACCACUGACCAGAAACUGAAGUGGAUUAGCCAUCUAAAUACUGACUACAACAGCAAGUCAGAGGCUAGGAAUUCUGUGGUUAGUAACACACCUCCAGCAUUGCCAAUGACUGAACACCAUCCACCAGGCACUAGUAAGAAGUGUGAUGAAAUAUUGUCCACUUGAAUGCAGCUCCAUAGACACUCAGGAAGCUCAACACCAUCCAGGAUGAAGUAGCCCACUUGUUGAGCACCCCAUCCAACACCUUCAAUGUUCAUUCUCCACCUGGUUGACAGCACACAGCAGCAGUGUGCGCUAUCUACAAAUGCAAUGCAAAAACUCUCAAAAGUCCUUUGACAGCAUCUUCCAAAUCUGUGAUCUUUACUACUUAGAUCUGUAGCAGCAGAUACAUGGAACACGUGCAAAUUUUCCUCCCAGCCACACACCAUUUGGAACUGGAAUCAUAGAAUCGCUACAAUGGAGAAAGAGGCAUUUAGACCAUUAAGUCUGCAACAACCCUCCAAAGAACAUCCCAACUAAACCGAGUCUCCUACCCUGUCCCCUUAACUCCACAUUUCUCAUGGCUAAUCCACCCAGACUGUACAUCCCCCAAACACUACGGACAAUUUAGCAUGGCCAAUCCAACUAACCCGUACAUCUUUGGAGUGUGGGAGGAAAUCAGAGCACCCGGAGGAAACCCAGGUAGAGACAGGGACAAGGUGCAAACUACACACAGCUACUCAAGCCCGGAAUUGAACCGGAGUCCCUAGCACUGUGAGGCAGCAGUGCUAAUCACUGAGCCUCUGUGCCACCCGACUUCAUUGCCACCGGGUUAAAAUCCUGGAACUCCCUUUCUAAAGGUCCUGUGAAAAUCCUAUCACCACAAAGGCUGCAGUGGUUCAAGUAGGCAGCUCUCCACCACCAUCUUCUCUGUGGCAAUUAGAGACGGAUAAUAAAUGAUGGCCUGGCCAAUGAUGCUCAGAUCCUGUGAAUAUAUUUACAAACAUUUCGCCUUCGACAUUCACAGGCUGAUUAUAUUUUUAACGUGAUUUUAACGACUUUCCCAUCGGGAAAUCUUUCCCUUCUAAUACCCCGUGAAACUAGUCUAUGAACUCAUCACUGUCAGGACAGUGUAGAAAUUCUUGCUCCUAAGGAACAUUGCUUCUUCUUCAUUUCUAAAAACCUAUAAAACCACGUCCAACACACUCCGACCCUUCUCAGCUCCUUGCUGCAGAUUCUCUCCACUCUCCAACUGAAUUAUCUUCUCCUCUCCAGACUCUCUGUUUUUCUGUUCACUCAGGCAGUGGCCCAAACUACGGUACAAGUAUUGUAGUUGUGGAAAUCUGCCCUUUGCCCCAUCUACCUGUUGGGUUAUUGUUGGAAUGGGGACGGGGACGGGAACGAGCCGGGAUCACCCGACACUGACCGCAGCCGAUGUUAAUUGAUUCAUGAUCCGCGCGGGUGUUCCACGUGAAAUUUGUAAACCCCGCCUCUAAGUUACAGCAUAACUCUCUGAUGAAGGGUCUAGGCCCGAAACGUCAGCUUUUGUGCUCCUGAGAUGCUGCUUGGCCUGCUGUGUUCAUCCAGCCUCACAUUUUAUUAUCUUGGAUUCUCCAGCAUCUGCAGUUCCCAUUAUCUCUAAGUUACAGCUCUUUGGUGCCCGACCUGAGUGACGGCAAUCCCGGACCAAUAGAAAGAGGGGAUAAGGCCGGCCUGGCCGCUGGCCAUCCAACCAAUCAGAGGGACUGAAAGGCGGGAAGAAGCCGCAACUGGACCAUGCGUACUGUUCUACAAAGAAUGAGGGAUUACUGGGGGAGACGGGAAGUCUGCUACAUAGUUUAACAAAUGCUUUGAAAAUCGAGGAAGAAAUGAUCUGUGUCGAGUUUAGCCUAAGCAGCAUUACUUAUAUGGGGUUACCGCUUGCCAAAAGCUGGCUCCCAGUUGCCAAGCCGCAUCGCGGAGCGACAUAGCCCGGAAGCAGGGAAGAGAGAGAAUUUCUCCCGUACACGUGGAGAUUGGGAUUUCGGUCAGUUCAUUUCGUAGAACAUUCAAUGGGAUCUACUUCACAGUCGGCUAACUGAAGCCACACGGCGCAUCAAGCUGUGACAGAAUCAUUCCAUUCACCAGGAUCGGUGGAAGGAAAAAGGAGCAGAAGAUGGUAAGAACUGGAGUCUAAGAUAACAGUGUGGAGUUGAAAGAUCACAGCAGGACAGGCAGCAUUCGAGGAGCAGGAAAGCUGACGUUUCAGGUCACCACUAUUUUCUUCAAGCCAAAUAGGGUAUUAGAACAUUUGCAGAAACAAAGUUGCAGGAAAAGCUCUGGUCUGGCAGCAUCUGUGAAGGAAAAAAAGCAGUUAAUGUGUCGGGUCUGGUGACCCUUCAUCAGAACUGAUGGUCCUGGGAAAACAUCAGUUGAAAUGCAGAAAAAAGGGAGGGGGACCGGGAACAGAUCAACAUCUGACUGUGUCACUCAAUUCACUGAAUAUCAUUGAUCUUUGAAUUUGGAGGGAGAUAUGCUUGUCUGUUCUGUUUAUAGGCAAAUAUUUAAAACACACGCACGCACACCGCUUGUGGCAAGGACUGUGGGAAGGGAUACGUUCACCCAUCUGUCAGACUGAGCAACCAUAAGUGAUGUCAGGGGUUGGAUUUUGCUGUUAUUGCUGCUGUUAAUCACAUCCAGACUGAACUGUGUUCCUCUUAACAGUUGACAGUUGUUUCAGUUGAUGUUAAUAAUCUCUGUAACUAGG